rnacentral:lncRNA from 1 species
AUUCAUUUGUUGUUUGUUCGCAUCUAUUGAAUGUUUAGGGGAGGGGAUCUUUAUAGUUAAGUUGGGUGAUAUGAUAAUGUUUGAAAAUUGUGUGUGUGAAAUGAGCCAGAAGAGUUUGCUUGUGUUCGUGAGUGUGACUGAGAUGAAUUUGUUUGGGAAAACUUUUGAGAUUUUUUCUUUUGGUUUUAGGAAGACGUUUCAUAGUUUUAGGAUAGCUUUCCAGAAACUUUGAUACUACUUGAAAAAAAUUUUUGGUUUGGUUUACGCAAGACAGGGACACAAUGGGAGUUUCAAUACCUUAAUUACUAGCUCUGCCUGAGCUCAAGUAUCCAAUUGGAUCAGAGCCAAAGUGAUUGAAGAACAUGACCAAUUUUGGUUUGGAUCAUCGCCUCCUCUCAACGUCAACGUCAUCGGAAAAAAAUCAAAUGCUGAAGCGACGAGCACCGAUCAAAAGUUUUGUUCUUCGCUCUCUGAAUCUGAGAUCUACAUAACU